AUGCACGCUGGCGGCGUGCCUAAUACAUGCAAGUCGAGCGAACAGACGAGGAGCUUGCUCCUUUGACGUUAGCGGCGGCCGGGUGAGUAACACGUGGAUAACCUACCUAUAAGACUGGGAUAACUUCGGGAAACCGGAGCUAAUACCGGAUAACAUGUUGAACCGCAUGGUUCAACAGUGAAAGACGGUCUUGCUGUCACUUAUAGAUGGAUCCGCGCCGCAUUAGCUAGUUGGUAAGGUAACGGCUUACCAAGGCAACGAUGCGUAGCCGACCUGAGAGGGUGAUCGGCCACACUGGAACUGAGACACGGUCCAGACUCCUACGGGAGGCAGCAGUAGGGAAUCUUCCGCAAUGGGCGAAAGCCUGACGGAGCAACGCCGCGUGAGUGAAGAAGGUCUUCGGAUCGUAAAACUCUGUUAUUAGGGAAGAACAAAUGUGUAAGUAACUAUGCACGUCUUGACGGUACCUAAUCAGAAAGCCACGGCUAACUACGUG
rnacentral:rRNA from 1 species